rnacentral:rRNA from 1 species
CGGCGGACGGGUGAGUAACACGUGGAUAACCUACCUAUAAGACUGGGAUAACUUCGGGAAACCGGAGCUAAUACCGGAUAAUAUAUUGAACCGCAUGGUUCAAUGGUGAAAGACGGUUUUGCCGUCACUUAUAGAUGGAUCCGCGCCGCAUUAGCUAGUUGGUAAGGUAACGGCUUACCAAGGCAACGAUGCGUAGCCGACCUGAGAGGGUGAUCGGCCACACUGGAACUGAGACACGGUCCAGACUCCUACGGGAGGCAGCAGCC